rnacentral:rRNA from 1 species
UACGUAGGGUGCAAGCGUUGUCCGGAAUUAUUGGGCGUAAAGAGCUCGUAGGCGGUUUGUCGCGUCUGCUGUGAAAAUCCAGGGCUUAACCCUGGGCCUGCAGUGGGUACGGGCAGACUAGAGUGCGGUAGGGGAGAUCGGAAUUCCUGGUGUAGCGGUGAAAUGCGCAGAUAUCAGGAGGAACACCGGUGGCGAAGGCGGGUCUCUGGGCCGAUACUGACGCUGAGGUGCGAAAGCGUGGGGAGCAAACAGG